UACGGGGGGAGCAAGCGUUGUUCGGAUUUACUGGGCGUAAAGGGCGCGUAGGCGGUUGCACAAGUCAGUUGUGAAAUCUCCGGGCUUAACUCGGAAAGGUCAACUGAUACUGUGCGACUAGAGUGCAGAAGGGGCAACUGGAAUUCUCGGUGUAGCGGUGAAAUGCGUAGAUAUCGAGAGGAACACCUGCGGCGAAGGCGGGUUGCUGGGCUGACACUGACGCUGAGGCGCGAAAGCCAGGGGAGCGAACGGG
rnacentral:rRNA from 1 species